UCUCAGUCUCUUUCUCCUCGCUGCUCACCCCUUUCCCAUUCAGCUAGCCACCCAUGACCCACCCUGCUCCCCUGUGCAGCCGCCGGCGCGUCAUGGCGCACGGCACCCAUCCCGGCCCAACCUCCCACCCCGCGCCUCCGAACCGUCCCUACAGCCUACCUGUGGCGUCGCGAGCCUCCCACACCGCGCCCCCAUCACUCCCUGCUGUCCGGCGAGAUCCGGGGGGCAGGCAGACGCGCGCACAGUCUGGGCGGCGGCAUCCACCGCGCGGCGCUCCCUGCCCCGCGCCCCCGCCGCGAUGACGCCACGUUGGUCCGAAUCAUCGGGUGGUAACGCCCGGCGACUGGCGCGCGCCGUGCAGCGUGAGGUGGGCUCGAUCUGCAUCCACCGGUGGGAUCGGGCUCCUCAUUUUGGAGACCCUGCCGCAAGCUGUGCUCGGCCGGAUGGGCGGAGAUCGAUGAGGAGUGGAUUCCGUGGUGCAGCACGACGCCGACGGCUUCUCUUCGCCACCGAGCUCUGCUCCCCUCCCUAUGCGUCAGGAUCAGGGUGCCCACGGAUCUUACCUUGUCACGGUCGGCUCUCGUCUCUCCCUCCGCUUUUGGUAGCUCUGUUGGAUUGGCACCGCCGAUGAAAUUCGAUCUUAGAGCUUAAACAGGUGCAUAUUCGACUAAGUAUAGAACGGGAAGAUGUCGCGAAAGGAAUACUCAUGGUUUCUGAAGACUGAUUAUGCUCACAAACUCAGUUGAGGAUUGCAAACCUAGGGCAUGGUGGGCACCAUCGAACAUAACAAAGGUGGAUCUCAGUCCUUUGCCGUCGGAGAGGCAAAAGACGGUAGGUGAGAACUGUGAAGAUGAUGGCAGGAGGAUGUAGCGGCAGCAUCAGGAGAUAUAGACGCAGCAACAGCCAUCGAGCGCAGGUUCUGGUUCUGGGGCGCCGAGGUUGCGGUUUAGCAGAGGCUGCGCUCGCACAGCUCGCCGCUCGCGUGAGAACGAUGUGGCCGGACGGCGAGUGAACUGGCGAUUCUCUCCUUGACGUAGUGGCCGGACGGCGAGUGAACUGGCGAUUCUUUCCUUGACAUAGUGCGUCCGUGGGUCGAUGGAGCUCGUACGCGAGCAAGAACUGGCGUUUCUCUCCCUGGAGACGUGCGUUCGUGGGUCGAUGGAGCUCAUACGCGAGGAAGAACUGGCGUUUCUCUCCCUGGAGACGUGCGUUCAUGGGUCGAUGGAGCUCGUACGUGAGGAAGAACUGGCGUUUCUCUCCCUGGAGACGUGUGUUCGUGGGUCGAUGGAGCUCGUACGCGAGGAAGAACCGGCGUUUCUCUCCUUGGAGACGUGCGUUCGUGGGUCGAUGGAGCUCGCAGGUGGUUUGAUUUUUUGCAGAUGGACCUCGUUCGUGGGUUGAGCUGAACUGUUUUUUAGGCUGGUUUGUUGAUCGAUGGACCUCGUUCGUGGGUUGAGGACUUCGUUCGUGGGUUGAGCCGAUUUUUUUGGCUGUGGAUCUUGUACGUGGGCUGAGUUGGCCUUUGAUUUUUGGGAUGCUGCGGGCAUGGCCCAUCGACUGA